CCUACGGGCGGCUGCAGUGGGGAAUAUUGGACAAUGGGGGGAACCCUGAUCCAGCCAUGCCGCGUGUGUGAAGAAGGCCCUCGGGUUGUAAAGCACUUUCAGUGAGGAAGAACGCCUGGUGGUUAAUACCCAUCAGGAAAGACAUCACUCACAGAAGAAGCACCGGCUAACUCCGUGCCAGCAGCCGCGGUAAUACGGAGGGUGCGAGCGUUAAUCGGAAUUACUGGGCGUAAAGCGCGCGUAGGUGGCUUGAUAAGCCGGUUGUGAAAGCCCCGGGCUCAACCUGGGAACGGCAUCCGGAACUGUCAAGCUAGAGUGCAGGAGAGGAAGGUAGAAUUUCCGGUGUAGCGGUGAAAUGCGUAGAGAUCGGGAGGAAUACCAGUGGCGAAGGCGGCCUUCUGGACUGACACUGACACUGAGGUGCGAAAGCGUGGGUAGCAAACAGGAUUAGAUACCCUUGUAGUC
rnacentral:rRNA from 1 species